rnacentral:rRNA from 1 species
AGUGAACGCUGGCGGUAGGCCUAACACAUGCAAGUCGAACGGCAGCACAGUAAGAGCUUGCUCUUACGGGUGGCGAGUGGCGGACGGGUGAGGAAUACAUCGGAAUCUACUUUUUCGUGGGGGAUAACGUAGGGAAACUUACGCUAAUACCGCAUACGACCUACGGGUGAAAGCAGGGGAUCUUCGGACCUUGCGCGAUUGAAUGAGCCGAUGUCGGAUUAGCUAGUUGGCGGGGUAAAGGCCCACCAAGGCGACGAUCCGUAGCUGGUCUGAGAGGAUGAUCAGCCGCACUGGAACUGAGACACGGUCCAGACUCCUACGGGAGGCAGCAGUGGGGAAUAUUGGACAAUGGGCGCAAGCCUGAUCCAGCCAUACCGCGUGGGUGAAGAAGGCCUUCGGGUUGUAAAGCCCUUUUGUUGGGAAAGAAAAGCAGCAGGUUAAUACCCCGCUGUUAUGACGGUACCCAAAGAAUAAGCACCGGCUAACUUCGUG